AAACUUAAAUGAAUUGACGGGGGCCCGCACAAGCGGUGGAGCAUGUGGUUAAUUCGAAGCAACGCGAAGAACCUUACCAGGUCUUGACAUCCCGAUGCUAUUUCUAGAGAUAGAAAGUUACUUCGGUACAUCGGUGACAGGUGGUGCAUGGUUGUCGUCAGCUCGUGUCGUGAGAUGUUGGGUUAAGUCCCGCAACGAGCGCAACCCCCGCCGUUAGUUGCCAGCGGUUCGGCCGGGCACUCUAACGGGGACUGCCCGCGAAAGCGGGAGGAAGGAGGGGACGACGUCUGGUCAGCAUGGCCCUUACGGCCUGGGCGACACACGUGCUACAAUGCCCACUACAAAGCGAGGCCACCCGGCAACGGGGAGCUAAUCGCAAAAAGGUGGGCCCAGUUCGGAUUGGGGUCUGCAACCCGACCCCAUGAAGCCGGAAUCGCUAGUAAUCGCGGAUCAGCCAUGCCGCGGUGAAUACGUUCCCGGGCCUU
rnacentral:rRNA from 1 species